GGAGAGAUGGCAGAGUGGUCGAUUGCGGCGGUCUUGAAAACCGUUGAACUGAAAGGUUCCGGGGGUUCGAAUCCCUCUCUCUCCG
rnacentral:tRNA from 5 species